GGAGAGGUGUCCGAGUGGUUGAAGGAGCCCGCCUCGAAAGCGGGUAGGGGCUUAACCGCCCCUCGUGGGUUCGAAUCCCACCCUCUCCGCCA
rnacentral:tRNA from 1 species